CGCCCCCAUCGGCCGUCGCAUCCGGCGGUGCAGGUGUUGGAACAAGGUCAGCCGACCCGGCGGCCUCACAGAAAAUGAAUCCGCGGCGGGGCCUUUAAGGAAGAGUGCAGUUAGGAAUGGUGACUCCCUAGCUUGAGUGCUUUUAGAUUUCUGAUGUGGUAGACAGACGACGACUACAGUCUAACGCAGUGCUCUGAAUCCUAUUAUUGCUACAAAUGGGAAUUCAGGAGGAGGAAUCUUUAAUCAAGUGGAUGCCUCAUCAAAGAGGGGAGAGCACAAAUGCAGUCCCUCACUACCACAAAUGAUGCAGUCGAGUUUCCCACAUUUGGGGAAAUCACAGAGGUCAGCACAUUCGGAGUGCAAUGGAUAAGCCUCGCCCUGGGAAAAUCACCUUCGUGAUCAUGGUAUCUCCCCUGCCAGAGACAUAUAGAACCUAACAUGAUUCUGGCGACUAUAAUAGCUAAAGUCAAGUACUCCUCAACUAUUCACUAAAGAAUUGCAUAGGUGUUGCUCAAGAAGCAGAGAGAGAUUUGACACAGAAGAGAAAGCAUGGAGGCACAUAUUGGAGUGAUGUGCCACAAGCCAAGGAAUGCCAGCAGCCAUCAGAAGCUGGAAAGCACAAGGAACUGAUACUCCCCUGGAAGCUCCAGAAGGAGCCUGGCCCUGCAGACACCCUGAUUUUGACCCAGUGAAAUUGAUUUCAAACUUCUGGCCUCCAGAACUGUGAAAUAAUAAAAAAAAAAUUUCUGUUGUU